rnacentral:rRNA from 1 species
UUUAUGGAGAGUUUGAUCCUGGCUCAGGAUGAACGCUGGCGGCGUGCCUAAUACAUGCAAGUCGAGCGAACGGACGAGAAGCUUGCUUCUCUGAUGUUAGCGGCGGACGGGUGAGUAACACGUGGAUAACCUACCUAUAAGACUGGGAUAACUUCGGGAAACCGGAGCUAAUACCGGAUAAUAUUUUGAACCGCAUGGUUCAAAAGUGAAAGACGGUCUUGCUGUCACUUAUAGAUGGAUCCGCGCUGCAUUAGCUAGUUGGUAAGGUAACGGCUUACCAAGGCAACGAUGCAUAGCCGACCUGAGAGGGUGAUCGGCCACACUGGAACUGAGACACGGUCCAGACUCCUACGGGAGGCAGCAGUAGGGAAUCUUCCGCAAUGGGCAAAAGCCUGACGGAGCAACGCCGCGUGAGUGAUGAAGGUCUUCGGAUCGUAAAACU